rnacentral:rRNA from 1 species
CCUACGGGAGAUAGCAGUGAGGAAUAUUGGUCAAUGGACGAGAGUCUGAACCAGCGAAGUAGCGUGAAGGAUGACUGCCCUAUGGGUUGUAAACUUCUUUUAUAUGGGAAUAAACUGUUCCACGUGCGGGCUUUUGUAUGUACCCUAUGAACAAGGAUCGGCUAACUCCGUGCCAGCAGCCGCGGUAAUACGGAGGAUGCGAGCGUUAUCCGGAUUGAUUGGGUUUAAAGGGAGCGUAGGUGGAUUGUUAAGUCAGUUGUGAAAGUUUGCGGCUCAACCGUAGAAUUGCAGUUGAAACUGGCAGGCUUGAGUACAGGAGAGGUAGGCGGAAUUCGUGGUGUAGCGGUGAAAUGCGUAGAUAUCACGAAGAACUCCAAUUGCGAAGGCAGCUCACUGGACUGCAACUGACACUGAGGCUCGAAAGUGUGGGUAUCAAACAGGAUUAGAUACCCCUGUAGUC